AGGUUCCUGCACUCGUAUCAGGCCUGCUGCCAAAAUUCUAUGGCAGUACUGCUUUUCGCGGAGUGCCAGAGCAUGCUUUUGCUUUUUUGUGUACCGUUUCGGUGCUUGAUGCUCUUUCUCGCCAGCACUGACUGUUACAAAAGCUACAGUGGAUUUCUAUUCGGUACAUUAUCAAGUAGAGGGGUUCUUACAUUGAAAAGUUUUGCUUCAGCAUACGGUAUUUACAGAUUUCUUCGUGGUUUAAGCCUUUCCACAGCACAGAAAACUUGGACAUCGAAGAAACUAAGCAAAGACAGCGAAUUUUACCAGUAAGCAUCUAAGCUUGUCCUCACGUCUAACUUGUUGUGAAGCAGGACUUUCUCUCCAUCUCCUCAGAAGCCUCAUCGCCUUCUAAACGGCAAAGCUUUCUUCAUCGUCUUCUAAACGGCCAAGGAAAAACUCUGGAAGAACCUCUUGAAGACGACGACGAUGGCGAUGGCGCUGCCGAGGGGACCGGAUUCCUCCCAACGUCAUACCGGCAAACCGGGCACGUCCCAUGGAGAGCCAGCCAGGGAAGUAUACAGUCCUG
rnacentral:lncRNA from 1 species